rnacentral:lncRNA from 1 species
ACAAAGCAGACUCAAAUUAAACAAAAAAAGAAAAUACACAAGGAAAAACUAAAAAAAAACUAAGGUAUAUACGUCUGGUCUUCACUGGGGCUCAACUCAUCACUGGAAACCUUGGAGCCUUCUGGAACCUCAGGCUCAUAGAGUUUCUUCGCUUUGGAGUCAAGUAAGUCAAGUAUCUUGGCUUCCUCAAUCUCAGCUGAGAGGUCAAAACCUCGGGCAUGGAUCUCCUCGAAAGUCUCUCUCCAAGAAAGCCGCUUUAAAUACUCUAUCUUUUUCUUUAAGCGGGCCUAUGGUACUCCACAUCAGCUAUAUACUGGGCAAACAUUUCCUCAAAGUUGGAGGAAUCAACAAAAGUUGCAUCCAACUUGGAAUUUAACUUGAAGCUUUCAUGAUGAAGCACAAUAGCGUGAAAAUAACGAAGUCAUUAUAGGAUGUCUAAAUCCAAGCAAGAUUCACAAAGGGUACGAAGAGAAAACGUAUUACCCGAUUUGGCCCCCAUUUCACCUCGUUGAAAAGGCUGAAUGUGCCCACUUCGUUCAUUUUUGACUGGUCCUCCUUGGCCACCAAGAAACGAAGGUAGCUGGAUAUGCCCACUAGAGCAGAUAGGGCCCGGUCAUUCGCUGGAAUAAUAAGAACGAUCGUCCUUUUAUGGUCAGGGUCCACACUCAGAGCAGGGAACUUCUUCACAAAUUUUGAGCUCGAACUCGGCUCGCCCGCUCCAGAUGGCACAUCCUUUUUGGGACCUGUAGGUGACCACGAUCUAAAGGCUACAUCUUUCGGGAUAGGAGUUGCUUCUCGAGAGGCCACGACCUCUGUCUCUCCCACUGGUUCCCGAUCUAGAGGGGGAUCAACCUCAUGUCCAUCUUUCUCGAUUGCCGCCUGCUCCCUCUUUUUAAGGGUCGAUCCGUGACUAAUAAACUCAUGGUCGUCGUCCUCAUGAUAGUCCCUGAACUGUUAGAGGGAAUCAGAGUUUUUACCCUAGACUUGGUGCUCUUUUUGAUUUUUCGGACAUGAGCAGUCACCUUUUUCUUCUUCGCCUCGGCAUCUGGGCAGCCCGAGGACUUUUUCUUCGUCUUCUUUUUAUCCUAUGCGGCAGCCCCAGGCUAUCUCGAUGCGGAGGGUUCGGCAAGCGAGGACGGAUCCUCAUCCUCAUCCAAAGGCCUGAGCUCGAUGGUCGUAGGAAAACCUAUAAGAAGAAAGAAGACUUAGCGAUGUGUAAGCGAAGAGUAUGAAGGUAAUCAUUCAGGACGAAGCCUCGCCAUGAGAAUGAGCCUCCCACUUGCCCUUCGAGAGCUUGCGC